AUUGAUCGCUGGCGGCAGGCUUAACACAUGCAAGUCGAGCGGAGAUGAGGUGCUUGCACCUUAUCUUAGCGGCGGACGGGUGAGUAAUGCUUAGGAAUCUGCCUAUUAGUGGGGGACAACAUUCCGAAAGGAAUGCUAAUACCGCAUACGUCCUACGGGAGAAAGCAGGGGAUCUUCGGACCUUGCGCUAAUAGAUGAGCCUAAGUCGGAUUAGCUAGUUGGUGGGGUAAAGGCCUACCAAGGCGACGAUCUGUAGCGGGUCUGAGAGGAUGAUCCGCCACACUGGGACUGAGACACGCCCCAGACUACUCCGGGAGGCAGCAGUGGGGAAUAUUGGACAAUGGGGGGAACCCUGAUCCAGCCAUGCCGCGUGUGUGAAGAAGGCCUUAUGGUUGUAAAGCACUUUAAGCGAGGAGGAGGCUACUGAGACUAAUACUCUUGGAUAGUGGACGUUACUCGCAGAAUAAGCACCGGCUAACUCUGUGCCAGCCGCCGCCGUAAGAC
rnacentral:rRNA from 1 species